rnacentral:rRNA from 1 species
GACGAACGCUGGCGGCGUGCCUAAUACAUGCAAGUCGAGCGGACAGAAGGGAGCUUGCUCCCGGAAGUUAGCGGCGGACGGGUGAGUAACACGUGGGCGACCUACCCUGUAGAUCGGGAUAACAUCGAGAAAUCGGUGCUAAUACCGGAUAAUCAUUUGAAGUGCAUGCUUCGAAUGUAAAAGAUGGCUCCGGCUAUCACUACGGGAUGGGCCCGCGGCGCAUUCGCUAGUUGGUAAGGUAAUGGCUUACCAAGGCAACGAUGCGUAGCCGACCUGAGAGGGUGAUCGGCCACACUGGGACUGAGACACGGCCCAGACUCCUACGGGAGGCAGCAGUAGGGAAUCUUCCGCAUGGACGAAAGUCUGACGGAGCAACGCCGCGUGAGUGAUGAAGGUUUUCGGAUCGUAAAGCUCUGUUGUUAGGGAAGAACAAGUGCCGUUUGAAUAAGGCGGCACCUUGACGGUACCUAACCAGAAAGCCACGGCUAACUACGUGCCAGCCGCCGCCGUAACAC